rnacentral:sRNA from 1 species
GCGGCUGGAUCCCCUCCUUUCUAACGGAACCAGGGGAAGACCGAAAGGUUGACCCCCUACCUCCUGACGAAAGCCGGAAAGACCGAGCAUUUCUUCCACCUUUGCAGCCGUUAAGGGCGGCUGGAUGCGGAUGUGUAGCUCAGCUGGUUAGAGCACUCCUCUGAUAAGGGAGAGGUCGUUGGUUCAAGUCCAACCACAUCCACAGCCCACAACAUGGUGGGCAGGGCGUCACGGUACGUCAGUAGCGUGACGCAGCACCUUAACAAAAGAAUAGAUGGAAAGCGCAUCAAAGAAAGACGCAAAAACGAGAACGAAACGCCCGUAGAGGGCGGAGCGGUCUCCGCAUGACAAAGCAAGCGAAAGCAGGCGAACGGGGGAUGCCCUGGCGUCAGGAGCCUACGAAGGACGUGGCACACUGCGAAAAGCGUUGGGAAGCCGUGUGCAGGCGUAGAACCGACGAUGU